GCCCUUUUCCGGUUGAUCCUGCCGGACCUGACUGCUAUCGGAUUGAUACUAAGCCAUGCGAGUCUUUGUAGUAAUACAAGGCAGACGGCUCAGUAACGCGUAGUCAACCUACCCUAUGGACGGGAAUAAUCUCGGGAAACUGAGCAUAAUACCCGGCGUACCACCAUUCCUGGAAUGGUUGGUGGUUAAAAUGAUUCGUCGCCGUAGGAUGGGACUGCGACUUAUCAGCUUGUUGGUGAGGUAAAGGCCCACCAAGGCGAUUACAGGUACGGGCUCUGAGAGGAGAAGCCCGGAGAUGGGUACUGAGACACGGACCCAGGCCCUAUGGGGCGCAGCAGGCGAGAAAACUUUGCAAUGUGCGAAAGCACGACAAGGUUAAUCCGAGUGAUUUCUGCUAAAGGAAUCUUUUGCCAGUUCUAAAAAUACUAGUGAAUAAGGGGUGGGCAAGUUCUGGUGUCAGCCGCCGCGGUAAAACCAGCACCUCAAGUGGUCAGGAGGAUUAUUGGGCCUAAAGCAUCCGUAGCCUGCUCUGUAAGUUUUCGGUUAAAUCUAUAUGCUCAACGUAUAGGCCGCCGAAAAUACUGCAGUGCUAGGAAGUGGGAGAGGUAGACGGUACUUGAUAGGAAGGGGUAAAAUCCUUUGAUCUAUCGAUGACCACCUGUGGCGAAGGCGGUCUACCAGAACACGUUCGACGGUGAGGGAUGAAAGCUGGGGGAGCAAACCGGAUUAGAUACCCGGGUAGUCCCAGCUGUAAACGAUGCAGACUCGAUGAUGCAUUGGCAUAUAGCCAGUGCAGUGUCGCAGGGAAGCCGUUAAGUCUGCCGCCUGGGAAGUACGUACGCAAGUAUGAAACUUAAAGGAAUUGGCGGGGGAGCACCACAAGGGGUGAAGCCUGCGGUUCAAUUGGAUUCAACGCCGGGAAGGGC
rnacentral:rRNA from 1 species